GCCAGGUGUGGUGGCGGGUGCCUGUAAUCCCAGCUACUUGGGAGGCUGAGGCAGGAGGAUAGCUUGAACCCAGGAAGCAGAGGUUGCAGUGAGCUGAGAUCAUGCCACUGUACUCCAGCCUGGGUGACAGAGCAAGACUCUGUCUCAA
rnacentral:SRP_RNA from 1 species